GAUGAAGAACGCAGCGAAAUGCGAUAAGUAGUGUGAAUUGCAGAAUUCAGUGAAUCAUCGAAUCUUUGAACGCACAUUGCGCCCCUUGGUAUCCCGAGGGGCAUGCCUGUUCGAGCGUCAUUUCACCACUCAAGCCUGGCUUGGUGUUGGGCGACGUCCUCUUUGGGGACGCGCCUCGAAACGCUCGGCGGCGUGGCACCGGCUCUAAGCGUAGCAGAAUCUUUCGCUUUGGAAGUCGGGGCCCCGUCUGCCGGAAGACCUGCUCGCAAGGUUGACCUCGGAUCAGGCAGGGAUACCCGCUGAACUUAAGCAUAUCAAUAAGCGGAGGA
rnacentral:misc_RNA from 1 species